rnacentral:pre_miRNA from 14 species
CAUUCGGGGUUCUGGGGGGGUCACACUCCGAUCCCAGACGAGCCCCCAUAUGAAAGAGCAUACCCCUAAACGGGGGACGUGUCUCUCGCUCCAAUCGUGGGAUGGGGUGCCCCCAGGAAUCACGAGUAGCCAU